rnacentral:rRNA from 1 species
UCCGUAGGUGAACCUGCGGAAGGAUCAUUGUCGAAGCCUAGAAAGCAUGACCGUGGACAAGUUGUUAAUCAGGGAGGCAAUUGGAAUUGCCUUUGGCCAUCCAAUUUGCUCUCCCCUCUCACUCGGUGCCGAACCUUCGGGCUUUGGCUCGGGUGAAUUGAAUGAACCCCGGCGCGGACAGCGCCAAGGAAUCAAUAAAGAAGGAGCUUGGUCAUGUGGUCCGUUUUUGGGCUGUCAUGGCCAUAGGUCUAUUCAAUACUAUAACGACUCUCGGCAACGGAUAUCUCGGCUCUCGCAUCGAUGAAGAACGUAGCAAAAUGCGAUACUUGGUGUGAAUUGCAGAAUCCCGUGAACCAUCGAGUUUUUGAACGCAAGUUGCGCCCGAAGCCAUUAGGCUAAGGGCACGUCUGCCUGGGUGUCACGUAUUGUGUUGCCCCCAUACUUGAAUGGAUGGGGAGCGAAGCUUGGCCUCCCGUGGUUUCAGUAUUCGCGGAUGGUUUAAAAUUGAGCCUCGAGACGGCGAUACGUCACGACAAGUGGUGGUUAUAAGGCUUUUGUCCUUUGAUUAUUCAUGACGUGUCUGUCGCAUCUCAUCACUCAAACGGAACCCAAACGGAACGUCCUUGACGUUGCCAGCAUAGCGACCCCAGGUCAGGCGGGAUUACCCGCUGAGUUAA